UAGGGAAUCCUCCACAAUGGGCGAAAGCCUGAUGGAGCAACGCCGCGUGUGUGAUGAAGGCUUUCGGGUCGUAAAGCACUGUUGUAUGGGAAGAACAGCUAGAAUAGGAAAUGAUUUUAGUUUGACGGUACCAUACCAGAAAGGGACGGCUAAAUACGUGUCAG
rnacentral:rRNA from 1 species